AACGAACGCUGGCGGCAGGCCUAAUACAUGCAAGUCGAACGCACCGCAAGGUGAGUGGCAGACGGGUGAGUAACGCGUGGGAACCUUCCUUGCAGUACGGAAUAACUCCGGGAAACCGGUGCUAAUACCGUAUACGCCCCUCGGGAGAAAGAUUUAUCGCUGCAAGAUGGGCCCGCGUCGGAUUAGCUAGUUGGUGGGGUAAUGGCCUACCAAGGCUACGAUCCGUAGCUGGUCUGAGAGGAUGAUCAGCCACACUGGGACUGAGACACGGCCCAGACUCCUACGGGAGGCAGCAGUAGGGAAUAUUGGACAAUGGGCGAAAGCCUGAUCCAGCCAUGCCGCGUGAGUGAUGAAGGCCCUAGGGUUGUAAAGCUCUUUCACCGGGGAAGAUAAUGACGGUAACCGCAGAAGAAGCCCCGGCUAACUUCGUGCCAGCAGCCGCGGUAACAC
rnacentral:rRNA from 1 species